UUUUUUUUUUUUUUUUUUUUUUUUUUUUAUUUGACAGUUCACUGCAGUGGCAUCAGAAAGCAUUCCUGAGAUGCCUGUUCCCAUAGUUGCAUCCUAGGUAGAUAUAGAAAUUAAAUAGCUGACAGUCCUACUAAGUUUCAGUGAUGAUUAAGUUCUAACUAUAUCCCAUUUUUUCCUUACAAGGAUCUUUCAAAAUCCUCUUGUACAACUUCACUGAACAAUUUGAGUGUUACCACUGAUAAAGACAUACUACCUACCUGUCUCAGGAUUAUUUCUAAGAAACUUUGGUAAUAAUAGCUGAGAUGAGCACACUAUAAAACUUACACAGAAGAACUUAAAAACUAAAAACCCCACAGUUUGAAGCAACUAAAAUGGAGAAAAAUAUUGUAAAACAAAGUGUACUGGCAAAUAAGGUACAAUACCUGUCAGUCACAUUUUUGCUUUUUCUACAAAAAUAUUAACAGCUGGAGAGGAAGCAGUUCUCUGGAUUAGAUUAACUGCAAUGGUUUUAACAUAAAACUACAACCUUAAACACCAAUAAAAGGUAACCUUCAAACCUCUAGGCUUCAAACCUUCUAGCUUUCUUUGCUAGAACUCAGCAAACUAAAUUCCCUCACUCCAAAUUAGAGUUCUUGUUCUUAUUUUCAGAGUUGUAAAGCACUUGAGUAAAUGACUGUGCUGUGUAUUACAACAUGGUUCAGAACUGGUGAGAAAACUAAAUGAGACUUCUUGCAGACAAGGUGACUGAGUUAAGUGACAACUUUAAGAAGGUAUCAGUAAAAUCAUCACUUGAGAAAUCAAUCACUCCAAGAGCUGUUGCUUAACAACUGUGUUGCUAAGAGUUCAUUCUUCACACCUAUAUAUUCCCAUAAACUAAUUAACCAUAAACAAAGGAAAAAGUAAUUUUUGUUGCAUCUAAAAAUAAAAACCUUCAACAUUUUGAAGAUGGAUUUUUUUUACUUGCAAAAUUUCUGACAUUGUUAUUGAAAUUAAAUGUUACGCUCUAUUUUCUACAUCUCAAAUACCAGCAAGGGUAUUGGUAGCCAAUACUACACAACAUGAUGAACGCUCUCCAUUCAUUACCCAUGUAAUAUUCCAGAGUCACUUUUACAAAAACUGGUAUCAACCUUUGGCCAAGUUCAACACAAAGCCUGCGGUUUGGGUUGUAUUAUUUUUUAAUUUAAAUGACCACCAUUGCAAAUUUCUUUAGAAUCAUUUGUCAAAAGUAGCUUUUAGAGAACUUUUUAUCACUUCCAAAAAGCUGCACUGAAAAUGAAAAAUAUUUAAGAAAAGCCUGCAGAACUGAAAUAAUGUAGCUGUUCAUUACCAAAAUUGGUGACUGCCAGAUUGCAGUUACAAACUAUACUUUUUGGCAGAUGCUCAGCUCAUUAUCAUUCAGCUGUUGAAUCACAGAUCCAGCUCCCAUCACCUAAGAGGAUUACAGAACAACAGGCAGGUUUUUACUGCUUAAAGCUCAUAGAGCAAACGUCUUUCUUCUGACCUUAAGUUUGUAUGGAUCCUUCUCUUCCAGGUAAACAAUUACAGGGCUUACUGGAAGUUCUAUUAAAUAAUGCAAGAGUGGGGUUGUUUUUUUGAUUUUUCACUUAUCACAAUGGUAAUACAUAACCAAUCAAAGACAGUAAAACUUGAACUUCACUGUAUGAAACAAUCUUGUUCUCCCAAAUACUCAUAACUAUAUUCCUCUUCUACCACUGUAGGAAGUGUUAGAGCUGAAAGGAAGAAUCAGUUCACUUACCACUGAACUGAAACUGUUCUAUACUUGCAGGAAACAAGCCAGGCAACAAGACUCCCAAAAUAAAUGCUGGUGGUGCAGGAUGGACAUGAUCUGGCAAUCUGCUCUUGCAGCCCAGAGAGACAAUUGUAUCCUGGACUGCACACAGAGCAGUGUGGGCAGCAGAGUAAAGCAGGGGAUUUGCCCUCAACUCCACUCUGGUGAGAUCCCACCUGCAGUGCUGCAUCCUGCAGUAUAGGGUCUGCAGUACAGACUGCAGGGUCUGCAGUACAGGAAGGACCUGGACCUGUUGGAGCAACUGCAGAGGAUGGCCAUGAAUAUGAUCGGGGGCUGGAGCACCUCUCCCAUGAAAGCAAGCUGAGAGAGUUGGGGUGGUCUAGCCUGGAAAAGGGAAGCUCUGAGGAAACCUUGGAGUACCUUCCAGUACUUAAAGGGGUCCUACAGGAGAGCUGGAGAGAGACUUUUUAUAAGGGCAUGUAGUGGUAGGACAAGGAAAAAUGGCUUUAAACUGAAAUAGAGCAGGUUUAGAUUAGAUACUAGGAAGAAAUUUUUCACUAUGAAUGGGGAUGACAUACUGGCACAAGCUGUCCGGAGAAGCUGUGGAUGGCUCAGCUCUGGAAGUGUUCAACACCAGGUUGGAUGGGGCUUUGGGCAGCCUGGUCUAGUAAAAGGUGUCUCUGCCCAUGGCAGAGCACUGAAAUCAGGUGAUCUUUAAGGCCCCUUCCAAACCAAACCAUUCUAUGAUUCUAUGAGAUUUUGAUCUUUGCAUUCUAUCUCUUAUACAAUCAAAACGAGUUUCAAGAGAAGGUAAGACUUAAUACUCUUUAAGGUAUUUUUAAAAACAAAUGCCAACAGGCAAUUUUAUAGAUUAUUUUGAUCUAAUUUCAUUAUCCCAUUUUGAACUACCAUUGACGACUCACACAGUUUUCAAACCAAGAACUACAAUUUUGGUUAUUAGAUACAUUUCUUUAUCAGAUUUGACUGUGAGAUCAGCUUCCCCAGCACUUCCUUUUCAAAACUUUGAAAUCAUCUCUAAAAGCCAUGAAACAGACUAUCAUGCAACAUUCAGAUCCUUAAAGGAAGACUACUUUUGACAAAGAUUAAAAAAAUAUUAGUGGUUUUCAUGGUUUAGGAAUGGUAUUCUGCCAUUUAGAGUUCCCCCCAAAACACUCCAAAACAUGUGCCACUCGUUCACUCCUCCCUUCCCCCCUCCUUCCCCUCUUGGGGCUGAAGAGAAGAAUUGGAGUCACAAAAAGUGAAGAUCGUGGGUUGAGAUAAGACCAGCAAUGAAAUAAGAAAAUGAACAGUAACAGCAACAACAUUAAUAACAGAAGUGGACAAGGGAAGUGAGAGACUCCCAUGUGAAUGCUCACCCCUGCACCAACAGGAGCCCAAGAAUACCUUACUACUGCCAGGAAGGGACACCUUAUCCAUUCUUGGAAAACAACCUGAGGUGGCAUGGAAUAACCUCUGGGUCCUGGCCAU
ensembl:lncRNA